rnacentral:rRNA from 1 species
GAUGAACGCUAGCGGCAGGCUUAAUACAUGCAAGUCGAACGGUAGUAGGACUUCGGUUCUAUGAGAGUGGCGCACGGGUGCGUAACGCGUAUGCAACCUACCUUCAGUUGGGGGAUAGCCCGGGGAAACCCGGAUUAAUACCGCAUAAUACAGGGGUCCCGCAUGGGGAUAUUUGUUAAAGAUUUAUCGACUGAAGAUGGGCAUGCGUCUGAUUAGCUUGUUGGUGAGGUAACGGCUCACCAAGGCGACGAUCAGUAGGGGAUCUGAGAGGAUGACCCCCCACACUGGUACUGAGAUACGGACCAGACUCCUACGGGAGGCAGCAGUAAGGAAUAUUGGACAAUGGGCGGAAGCCUGAUCCAGCCAUGCCGCGUGCAGGAGGACGGCCCUAUGGGUUGUAAACUGCUUUUGUAAGGGAAUAAUAAGGCGGACGUGCUUCGCUGACGAAGGUACCUUACGAAUAAGCAUCGGCUAACUCCGUGCCAGCAGCCGCGGUAAUACGGAGGAUGCGAGCGUUAUCCGGAUUUAUUGGGUUUAAAGGGUGCGUAGGCGGCCUGCUAAGUCAGGGGGUGAAAGGUUGCGGCUUAACCGCAGACAUGCCUUUGAUACUGACAGGCUUGAAUGAAGUUGAGGUAGGCGGAAUGUGGCAAGUAGCGGUGAAAUGCAUAGAGAUGCCACAGAACACCGAUUGCGAAGGCAGCUUACUAAGCUUCGAUUGACGCUGAGGCGCGAAAGCGUGGGGAUCAAACAGGAUUAGAUACCCUGGUAGUCCACGCAGUAAACGAUGAGAACUAGCUGUUGGCGAUAGACAGUCAGCGGCACAGCGAAAGCGUUAAGUUCUCCACCUGGGGAGUACGACCGCAAGGUUGAAACUCAAAGGAAUUGACGGGGGCCCGCACAAGCGGAGGAGCAUGUGGUUUAAUUCGAUGAUACGCGAGGAACCUUACCUGGGCUUGAAAGUGAGUGCCGAGCGCUGAAAGGCGCUUUCCCUUCGGGGCACAAAACUAGGUGCUGCAUGGCUGUCGUCAGCUCGUGCCGUGAGGUGUUGGGUUAAGUCCCGCAACGAGCGCAACCCCUAUCAUCAGUUGCCAGCAGGUAAAGCUGGGGACUCUGGUGAGACUGCCUGCGCAAGCAGCGAGGAAGGAGGGGACGACGUCAAGUCAUCAUGGCCCUUACGUCCAGGGCUACACACGUGCUACAAUGGCAGCUACAGAGGGCAGCGACCUUGUAAGAGGGAGCCAAUCUCAAAAAGGUUGUCACAGUUCGGAUUGAGGUCUGCAACUCGACCUCAUGAAGUUGGAUUCGCUAGUAAUCGCGUACCAGCAAUGACGCGGUGAAUACGUUCCCGGGCCUUGUACACACC